rnacentral:rRNA from 1 species
GUGUCAGCCGCCGCGGUAAUACGUAGGGGGCGAGCGUUGUCCGGAAUUACUGGGCGUAAAGGGUGCGUAGGCGGCCUCUUAAGUCAGAUGUGAAAGACCACGGCUUAACUGUGGAACUGCAUUUGAAACUGUGGGGCUUGAGUGUCGGAGAGGGUAGUGGAAUUCCCAGUGUAGCGGUGAAAUGCGUAGAUAUUGGGAGGAACACCAGUGGCGAAGGCGACUACCUGGACGAUAACUGACGCUGAGGCACGAAAGCUAGGGGAGCAAACAGGAUUAGAUACCCUGGUAGUCCUAGCCGUAAACGAUGGGUACUAGGUGUGGGUGGUUUCGAUACCAUCCGUGCCGUAGUUAACGCAUUAAGUACCCCGCCUGGGGAGUACGUGCGCAAGCAUGAAACUUAAAUAAAUUGACGG